UGGGAGCAUUUAUGAAAACACUGGGAAGAUGCUCUGAAGGUGUGAAGGUGUAACAAAGGCAUUGGACUGAGAAAGAAAGAGAGGGAUUCUUCUGACUGACUUUCAGCUUUUGCUGAAAUUGACAUCUGCUCCAAUUUCAUCUCUGUAUGAUUUUCAGAUGUCUUUCUGUACACAUCUGACUCCUCGUCUGUGUCUCUCUCCUCCUCUCUUUGAGUCUGUGCCGUGAAUCCGUGCAGAAUUCUCCGAGUCCCGUGGAGCUGAGGCCCUUCUACUGCAGGAGAGCUCUUGAUCCAAACUAGUCUCUGAUUAUCUGCUGAAGAUUUAGAGUUGACUACGUUGAACUUGUCUGCAAGAGAAGAGAAUAUCAAUCAGUAUCUGUGCAGAUGGUGAAUCUCAUUUUCAGGAAAUAUCUGGAAAAUGCUUGGCUGGCCUUAAAAUAGAUGG